rnacentral:tRNA from 2 species
GCCGAUGUAGCUCAGUCGGUAGAGCGCGUCCUUGGUAAGGACGAGGUCACCGGUUCAAUCCCGGUCAUCGGCUCCA